UCCACUGCAUGGAUUGCUCUGCUCUUUCCCUUUGACAACAAACCAAAUGAUGGUGAAACUCAGCUACCUCUCUCUCUCUCUCUCUCUCUCUCUCUCUCUCACACACACACACACACACAUACACACACACACACACAAAAUCGCACACCCACCCAAUUGCCUCUUCAUCUCUCUUUCUUCCUCUCACCCAAUCGCACAAGUGCACCAUUGCAGAUCGUGAUUUCUAUUGCGGACUAAUUGCCAUUGUCGCCUUCUGCCGAUUGCCUUGUUCCGUUUUUAGGAGGUAUCGUGAAGUAUCUAAAAGCAAGGACCUUGUUCAGACGACAAUGACGCUUAUCUGGGUCAAAUCAGAUGUAUGAACUGUUCAGUGAACUCGGUAUUCAUCUCUGAGUCAACUUGAUGGGGUCUCUUGGAUUAUCUUUGGAGCAGCACCAUAUUUCCUCUCUAUUUUACUUUGCAAGUUAAAGCUGGUACGAACUUAGGAAUGUUGUCAGUUGGGUGUUAUGAGCUAAAACACUUAGGGUAGUGUGAGAGUGUCUUUGAGAGUGGAGUGUGGUGAGCAUUGAGGGUUGAGUGCAUGGUGAGCUUAUAUAUGAGGGUUAAGUGAUGUGAGCUCAUAAAUCUUUUACAUAUCUAUGUGCUAAUUUUUGUGCAGGUUGUCAAGUUGGUUUAAUAGUAUGAAGGAGGGUUGAGCUUGGUGGGGAUCUAUACAUAGGUUCUCUUCUUUUAAGGGAUGCGUGUUAUAAGCCAGAUUUUUCUAACUGUUUUUUAUGCAGAUUGUCAAGCUAGCACUUAUGUGAGGGAAAUCUUUGCUGAGGUUUGAGUGAAUUUAGUCCAUAUACUGCUUGUAGGGUUGAGAGUUGUUUGAAAGUUGAGAUUUUUUUGAAUUGUUUGUCUAUUGUUCUUUGUUUGUCUGCCUUAUAUUUGCUGUUGCUUUGUUCCUGUUGCUGUCUCUGUUUGACUGAGAAGUUUGUUCAUGCUACACCUGUUUUGUUCAACCCCCCCAUAGUCUUGGUAUGUGGUGUUUGAACAGACCUUUGUUAUGCAAUGUGUUCAUAUUUCUAGGUGAGAAGUGACUGGUUCAUUUAGUCUGCUGGCUGUGUCGUUUGCUGUCCUGUUUGUUGUGUUGUUUACUAUCCCCCCCUAUAUUUCUGUCCUGUUUGCUGUGCUGCCUCUGUUCUGCUGUAAUGGUCUUGCCUGCUGCUAUAUUAGUGCUGCUAUGCUGGCCUGCUACAGAGCUGCUAGGUGCUAAGUGUCACUGUGUUUGGCAUGCUAUGCUGUUGAAAUCUCUUUUGUCAUAUUGGUAGCUCAGGAUGUUGUUGGUUCAUGGUUUUGGUUUUUUUUUUAUGUUUUCUUGUUUUUGUUGUUCUGUAGUGUAGUGUAGUGUGUUGGCCGAGAUGGUCAUUUAGUUCUAGUUUUGUUGACAUAUGGCUGCUGUUGUUGUUUUUAGUUUGUUAGGUCUUCCUGAGGAAUGCCUCUUGUAUAUCUAUACAUUCUUUUAUCUUAAUUUGUAACUUACUUACCCAAAAAAAUAAAGUUUUCUGUUAUAUCAAUUUGAGUAGUUAGAUUGAACAUUGAGCUUUUUACUAGAGUUUAUCUUUUGUGAACUAAUCAUUUCUUUUUUGGUAAUGAGGUUAUCUAAAGUAUCCCCCUGUCCUGACGCUCUUAACACAAUACACCAGACCUUAGCAACACGUGAUCUACAGACUGACCAGAGCAGUAUAUAGAAGCAACAAUUAUUAGCAAUUCUAGAUGACACUACCUUCCUCCUUACUAAUAGAUCGCAAGUAGUGAUUAUAUUUAUUUUUUUUCGCAUUGUGAACCAACAAAAAAACUUGGAACUCAUAACCAAAUGAUAUAAUCUACUCAUGGAGGCUACAGAAAAUAAAUCAUCAUUUGCAUAACUCCAUGACAUUCUAUCAUGAGUUUGAUUGUUGCCCUUAAAGGCAUCCGAUAAUCUUAUAAUUUCUCCUCUUCUUUUUCCCAGAGAUAAAGUUCUCUAUUAUUACUUAACUUCUAUCCAAUGCUCUCUCUCUCCUUUAAUGGCCACAAUAUUAGAUAUAACCUUUUUUUUCUUUUUUCUUUUUUGUAAUGACUAGGCUAAGCUACUCAUAAAGACAAAUUGCCUACCCAUUUCAAAAUGUGUCCCAGCACCAACUAUUAAUUUGAAACUCUGUUUUAUCAAAUUACUAAGUAUUGUCUCACCCCUUACCAAUGAUAUAAUAUCAUACCAAUCCUUGAUACCUUCUUUGAAUUAAAUGUCUUAGGCAGCCAUGAAUUUUGCUCCAUAUUGUAUUUUUCACACAGAACUUUUGUUUAUAGCACAGGCAUAAUUUAUAAUUUUUAAGUGAUCCAAUACCCAUCUCACCAAAAUCUCUUGAUCUAGUCACAUUGUCCCAUUUAAUCAACCUAAGAUUUCUUUAAUCCUCCUUGUCUCUCAUAUGUAAGAAGCUACACUGAAAUUUCUCCAAUUCAUUAGCCACACAUAAGGAAUCUUAAAUACAGACAUAAAGUAAACUGGUAAAUUACCAAGUGUGGAAAGGAUUAAUAUAAUCCUAGUUAAACUCAUAAUGUAAGUUUAAAUUUUCGUUACUGCUAAUAUUAAUAAUAAGAACUUGCUUUUCUUUUGCCUUCUUAAAUGUAGGAUGUUGAAGAUGGAUAUUAUGAUUUUGCUCAAGUGCUGAGUGGAUAUGAGUAGAAGGCUUAUUCACUUGCAUAUUCAAUUGCAUUAAUCUUAGAAUUGCAUAUUGUCAUUGGUUAUGCAACAAUUGCAGCAGCAUCUCUAGGAUAUUGUUCAAAUUGGGAUUGACUUAAUUUUGUUUAUUUUUAGUUUCACUUUUAAUUAUUGUUUUGUAUAAACUUAAAUUUUGAAUUGUAAGAACAUGUGUAGGUAUAAAUAGAAAUAUAUAUAUUUGGAUGUUAAAAAAUUGAUGCAUGUGAAUUGUCGAAUUGAUGUGUGUGAAUAUUAUUUAUUGCUUAAGCAAUGAAUAAUUUAUUAUUGAAAAGUAAUUUGUUAUCUAUGAUGGUAGUUUUUGCCAUCCCAAAUACCAAAUUAUUAUUAUUUUUUAAACAAUUAGAUGUUUUACCAACACAACUAUUUGUCACUAAAAGUCUACUUUCGCCAAUGGAUAUUGCAUCGCCAAAAGUCUCAUUUUUUGCCGAUACAAUUUGGGUUGGCAAACAUAAUCAUCUUAUUUGAGCCAUUUUUGCCAACGUAGUCUAAAAUGGCGACGAUUGAUGAAGGCUUUUGUCGACUAAGAUGUUUGUCGCUAAAGACAUCACUGUUAUCGACGUAAUCAUAUUUCGUUGGCAAAAGUUUUUCCCGACACACCUUUGUCGACAAGUUGACGAAGCAACUUUAUGGGUCGGCAAAACUCUUUGCCAACGAUAUUUGCCUUUUCCUAACACAAUUUGUUGUGUGGGCAAAACUACUUUUUGUUGUAGUGCGUAUAUCUAUAACGAGGUAUUAAAAAGCAACAAAGAAAUCCCUAUCUCAAGCAAGAAGAGAAGAAAGCCCAAAAAUCCAUCUUCGAUGCUCAGGCUAAAUGGAAGCCCUUGCCAAGCUCUACGUUUUGGUAUAUGGAACUAGGGAUCAAAGAUGUAUAGAAAUAGAUUAAAUCAAGGUUAAAGAGCUUGAAAACUCAAAAAAUGAGGAAAGAGAGAGAAGAGAGAGUGAAAAUUGAAGAGA